rnacentral:rRNA from 1 species
AUUGAACGCUAGCGGGAUGCUUUACACAUGCAAGUCGAACGGCAGCGCGGACUUCGGUCUGGCGGCGAGUGGCGAACGGGUGAGUAAUGUAUCGGAACGUGCCCAGUAGCAGGGGAUAACUACGCGAAAGCGUAGCUAAUACCGCAUACGCCCUACGGGGGAAAGCAGGGGAUCGUAAGACCUUGCACUAUUGGAGCGGCCGAUAUCGGAUUAGCUAGUUGGUGAGGUAACGGCUCACCAAGGCGACGAUCCGUAGCUGGUUUGAGAGGACGACCAGCCACACUGGGACUGAGACACGGCCCAGACUCCUACGGGAGGCAGCAGUGGGGAAUUUUGGACAAUGGGGGCAACCCUGAUCCAGCCAUCCCGCGUGUGCGAUGAAGGCCUUCGGGUUGUAAAGCACUUUUGGCAGGAAAGAAACGUCGCGGGCUAAUACCCCGUGGAACUGACGGUACCUGCAGAAUAAGCACCGGCUAACUACGUG